rnacentral:lncRNA from 1 species
UGCACACGAAGAGAGUUCGCCAAAUUAAACGGAACAAGUUGAGUUUAUAAGGUUUGUAUCCACCGAUUGGGAUCGGGAUCUCAAUGUUGUGGUUGAUGAACUUGCUUUCAGGAAAGUACUUAGCAGCCGUAAUUGAAUCAAAACUGGUGAUUUUGAUGUUACAAUUCUCAAGAUAGAUACUAAAGUUGAGGUGAAUUUAAGGAGUCAAAACUCAAUUUGACUUUAGUGUGGAUAUAUAUAUGUAUGUAAACUCUGCUUUGAGGUAGAGAAUUGAAAGCAGAGGAUAUUGAUAUGAAGAUUGAAGAAAUGGAUGU